UCUUAAAUGGGGUGAUUGCCUCAUUGUUCCAACACCCAUUGGCAUCUCCACUGCUGGGGAUGGAGUAGCUUCCUGGUUGGUCUCUGAAUCUGACAGGAUGGCUCCAGCAAGGUUCUACUCCUUGUCUGAUGGCAAAGGGUCUUGAGCUGCAUCUCUGCCCUGCGUCCCUUUUCAAGUCUCAGGUCUCCCAUUCCCCUUCAUCCUCUGUUGAGUCCUCAGAGGGAGGCAUGACACCAGCUUUAGAUCAAGCUAGGAUACUAAACCAUGGUUUGAAGUUGGUUUAAUACCCUGGCUGUUUCUGAAGCUAAUAACCUCAGUUUCCUGGUUCAGAUGAAAUGGGAAAGCACUGUUAAUUAGAGGCUUUCUGAUUGCUUGGACCAUAAAGGAAGGAACAAAUGGGCUGCAUGUGUGAGAGAAAGAAUUGUUGGACUCUACCUGUCAACUGUUACUUGCAAAUCUGGACGGCAGAUAUUGUCAUCACCACAGUCCAGGAGAAUAUGAGCCUAAAUAUGUAAAGAAGAAGAAGAAGAAGAAUCAGCACUUACCUGUAUAAGGCAACUUUGUCAACACCAAAAGCACCUACAAUCAAGUCUGGAAAUAGAAUAAAAUAAUAUAGAGAGUUUAGAUCCAAUACUUAUGAGUAUAUGGGCAAAUACACGAUUUAAAAACAUUUAAAAUAUGAUUGCAUACCUAAAUAAAUAUUUUUUUAAUAUAUGUAAAGUGUUGGGCCAGGGUCUUCCAUACUUACUUAAAAAUGUUAAAACCUAAGACUAAAGGUAUUUUAUUUCCCCACCAGGGUUUUUAGAUGUUUGGCUCUGAUCUUUUCUGCAGCCAAGGCAAAAGAAGCCACCUGGGAAGUUAAAUAAAUAUCACUACCUACCAAGAGUGUACAGAUUUGUUCGAGGGGAGAUCUAAUAUCGAUUGAAGGAUAUACGAGAGGUAUUUAAACCUCGGAGCAUUAUAAAGAGGGCAUUUCAAUAGGUAGUGAACAAUGUCUUCGACUUCCCCUGAUUUGCAUAUACAUAGCUGAAGGUGAAUUGGAGUUUUAGAGUAUCUUCCUUCAAUCAACGCUGAGGGCAUCGACUGGAAUCGAAGAGCCGUAAAAGAUUUUCUCAAUAAUGGAAUAGUUAAAAAAUUAAAAUAUUGCUCCGUGGCAAAGGUGGUUUUAAAUAAAGAAUACCACAGAGAAAAGGCCGAGAGAGUAGAGGCUCUAAGGUCCCAUCUUUUAGCGUAUAGGAGAAUUCUUUCUUUCAAAAUCUGCUUCGCUCUCUUGGAAGGGGUGGAGGGUAGGGGAUCUAUAUUUAUCCCAUAUGCGGCCAAUGAUUGUUUGGAACGGCUAAGCCAAUUAUCGUAAUUUGGAUUUUGAAGCUGUUCUGUGAGACAAAUUUUUGGUAAACGAGAAUCACACAUACAGGUGAGCCUCAACCAGUAAUUAGCUAUGGCGACAUGUACCAGGGACUCUAUAGAAUGUAAACCAGACUCCAACCUUAAAAAGGAAAUAGGGGUGCCUUUUGGGGUUACCAAGAUUGAGCGAAUAAAGGCAUUUUGGAUUUUCUCUAGUGGGGCAAUAUUUACAUGUCCCCAUAUCUCUGCCCCAUAGAUGAACAUGGGUAUUAUCUUCUUUCUAAACACUUCUGUAGCUGGGGAGACCAAACUUCCGAUCCGAUACUUGUUUGAAUUUUAAGGCUUGCAAUUCUGAUCAUCGAUAUAUCUCCAAUCUAUGAAUUAGCACAGAUGCUUUUGCUGAAAUAGCAAGGUGAUCAGUGUUUAAACUUGGAUCCAAAGGGUAAAUAUUAGGGAUGCUUAUAGAACCCACAUGUACUGGAAUUUGUUCUAGAUUAUGAGGAUUUGCUUUACUGGACAUGUUUCCCCAAGCCAAAUUCAAGGUUGAAAUCAUUAUUCUUCUGGAGAUAAACUUUAAGGAUUUUGUAAACUGAGCAAAGGGGGAUUCUUGCUCCUUUCCCUGCAUUUAUAUAGUCAAAAACACAUCAAGA